AUUGAACGCUGGCGGCAGGCUUAACACAUGCAAGUCGAGCGGGGGAAGGUAGCUUGCUACUGGACCUAGCGGCGGACGGGUGAGUAAUGCUUAGGAAUCUGCCUAUUAGUGGGGGACAACAUCUCGAAAGGGAUGCUAAUACCGCAUACGUCCUACGGGAGAAAGCAGGGGAUCUUCGGAACUUGCGCUAAUAGAUGAGCCUAAGUCGGAUUAGCUAGUUGGUGGGGUAAAGGCCUACCAAGGCGACGAUCUGUAGCGGGUCUGAGAGGAUGAGCCGCCACACUGGGACUGAGACACGGCCCAGACUCCUACGGGAGGCAGCAGUGGGGAAUAUUGGACAAUGGGGGGAACCCUGAUCCAGCCAUGCCGCGUGUGUGAAGAAGGCCUUAUGGUUGUAAAGCACUUUAAGCGAGGAGGAGGCUACUCUAGUUAAUACCUAGGGAUAGUGGACGUUACUCGCAGAAUAAGCACCGGCUAACUCUGUGCCAGCCGCCGCCGUAA
rnacentral:rRNA from 1 species